rnacentral:rRNA from 1 species
AUUGAACGCUGGCGGCAGGCCUAACACAUGCAAGUCGAACGGUAACAGGAAGAAGCUUGCUUCUUUGCUGACGAGUGGCGGACGGGUGAGUAAUGUCUGGGAAACUGCCUGAUGGAGGGGGAUAACUACUGGAAACGGUAGCUAAUACCGCAUAAUGUCGCAAGACCAAGGAGGGGGACCUUCGGGCCUCUUGCCAUCGGAUGUGCCCAGAUGGGAUUAGCUAGUAGGUGGGGUAACGGCUCACCUAGGCGACGAUCCCUAGCUGGUCUGAGAGGAUGACCAGCCACACUGGAACUGAGACACGGUCCAGACUCCUACGGGAGGCAGCAGUGGGGAAUAUUGCACAAUGGGCGCAAGCCUGAUGCAGCUAUGCCGCGUGUAUGAAGAAGGCCUUCGGGUUGUAAAGUACUUUCAGCGGGGAGGAAGGGAGGAAAGUUAAUACCUUUGCUCAUUGACGUUACCCGCAGAAGAAGCACCGGCUAACUCCGUG